GAGGAAUAUUGGUCAAUGGGCGAGAGCCUGAACCAGCCAAGUCGCGUGAAGGAAGACUGCCUUAUGGGUUGUAAACUUCUUUUAUACAGGAAUAAAAAGGCUUACGUGUAGGCCAUUGCAAGUACUGUAUGAAUAAGCAUCGGCUAACUCCGUGCCAGCAGCCGCGGUAAUACGGAGGAUGCGAGCGUUAUCCGGAUUUAUUGGGUUUAAAGGGUGCGCAGGCGGGCUUUUAAGUCAGCGGUGAAAUCUGGACGCUUAACGUCCAAACUGCCGUUGAAACUGGGAGUCUUGAGUAUGGAUGAAGUAGGCGGAAUUCGUUGUGUAGCGGUGAAAUGCGUAGAUAUUAGGAGGAACACCAGUGGCGAAGGCGGCCUGCUGGGCUUUUACUGACGCUGAGGCUCGAAAGUGUGGGGAGCAAACA
rnacentral:rRNA from 1 species